rnacentral:lncRNA from 1 species
GUUUCCGUGAGGGUUGCCUAGCGUGGGGCGGGACUUCCGGCGUCCUCCUCCGGGCGGUCAUUUUGGCUGCUCGGGUGUGUUCAUACGGACAGAAGUUCUGGAGCGAUUAGUGGGGCCGACGGGACAGGACCGAGAAAGCGACGGGGCACUUGUUGUUCCCGUUGAACAAAGGCGACUCUGAGGCUCGGCCGCGGCGCCGCCCGAGAUGAUCCGCACCAGGGCCGGUUUAAGAACCGCCGGCCCGCUCCUGGCCCCGCUCCGCCCACAGGCCUGGAUGGCUGCGGCUGCUCGGAGGGACCCGCCUCAGAUACAAGCAGUAAGUCCAAUACAUUCUCAGCAAUAGACUUUCUUCUGGACCUUCCUAUGAAGCCAGAGCCACAUGCACCAUCCUGAUCCUGUGUUUUAUUCACUGCUGUGAGAACUACAUUGCCCAGAGGACCCUGAGCCAGCAAAUUCACGUCAGCGUGGAGCCAAUGAAGGUCCAGGACAGGGGCAUUUCCAUGCGUGCCAUCGUGUCAGGGCGGGACUUCCGGCAUUCUCCUAGUGGCAGUCUUUUUCCUACUCAGAGGUUCCACAGCUCUGGGUCUGGUCCGAGGUGACCAAACUAAAGAGGAGACACGACCAAGAGGAAUUGUUGUCCUUGCUGCACAGAGUCGGAUCUGAAGCACUGGGCUCCACCCACAGACUCCAAUGGCGGCGGCGGUGCUGAGGGACCCGCCUCAGGUAAACGCUCGUCCUCCAGGCCCUCACCACCCUCACUCCUCCAGACGCUAAAGC